rnacentral:rRNA from 1 species
GAAACCGGAGCUAAUACCGGAUAGUUCCCUGAACCGCAUGGUUCAAGGAUGAAAGACGGUUUCGGCUGUCACUUACAGAUGGACCCGCGGCGCAUAGCUAGUUGGUGGGGUAAUGGCUCACCAAGGCGACGAUGCGUAGCCGACCUGAGAGGGUGAUCGGCCACACUGGGACUGAGACACGGCCCAGACUCCUACGGGAGGCAGCAGUAGGGAAUCUUCCGCAAUGGACGAAAGUCUGACGGAGCAACGCCGCGUGAGUGAUGAAGGUUUUCGGAUCGUAAAGCUCUGUUGUUAGGGAAGAACAAGUGCGAGAGUAACUGCUCGCACCUUGACGGUACCUAACCAGAAAGCCACGGCUAACUACGUGCCAGCAGCCGCGGUAAUACGUAGGUGGCAAGCGUUGUCCGGAAUUAUUGGGCGUAAAGGGCUCGCAGGCGGUUUCUUAAGUCUGAUGUGAAAGCCCCCGGCUCAACCGGGGAGGGUCAUUGGAAACUGGGAAACUUGAGUGCAGAAGAGGAGAGUGGAAUUCCACGUGUAGCGGUGAAAUGCGUAGAGAUGUGGAGGAACACCAGUGGCGAAGGCGACUCUCUGGUCUGUAACUGACGCUGAGGAGCGAAAGCGUGGGGAGCGAACAGGAUUAGAUACCCUGGUAGUCCACGCCGUAAACGAUGAGUGCUAAGUGUUAGGGGGUUUCCGCCCCUUAGUGCUGCAGCUAACGCAUUAAGCACUCCGCCUGGGGAGUACGGUCGCAAGACUGAAACUCAAAGGAAUUGACGGGGGCCCGCACAAGCGGUGGAGCAUGUGGUUUAAUUCGAAGCAACGCGAAGAACCUUACCAGGUCUUGACAUCCUCUGACAACCCUAGAGAUAGGGCUUUCCCUUCGGGGACAGAGUGACAGGUGGUGCAUG